CUCGGGGAGGUUAGGGGCAAUAAAUCACAAUGCGGGACUAUCAGUCUUGCAAUUGGAUUGAGAACAAUGUACAACUCUUAUCGAUAAGCCAUUGGAGGGCAAGUCUGGUGCCAGCAGCCGCGGUAAUUCCAGCUCCAAUAGCGUAUAUUAACGUUGUUGCAGUUAAAAAGCUCGUAGUUGAAGUGUGGGUGAUCGCUGUUGUGAGACUUCGGUCUCUCGACAGUAAGUCACCCCCUUCCAGUAUCCAGUAGUGGGUAUUCAGUUACUUACUAUUGUGUGUUGGUCGUUUACUGUGAGAAAAUUAGAGUGUUCAAAGCAGGCGUUUGCUUGAAUAGAUUAGCAUGGAAUAAUAAUUGAAGGCUUUCGUGUUCGAUUUGAUUGGUUUGUUCAUGGAAGCAAGGUUAAAAGGAACAGUUGGGGGUAUUCAUAUUCACUAGGAGUACGGAAGCUGGUCGGCUU
rnacentral:rRNA from 1 species